UACGAAGGGGGCUAGCGUUGCUCGGAAUCACUGGGCGUAAAGCGCACGUAGGCGGGUCGUUAAGUCGGGGGUGAAAUCCUGGAGCUCAACUCCAGAACUGCCUUCGAUACUGGCGAUCUUGAGUCUGGGAGAGGUGAGUGGAACUCCGAGUGUAGAGGUGAAAUUCGUAGAUAUUCGGAAGAACACCAGUGGCGAAGGCGGCUCACUGGCCCGGUACUGACGCUGAGGUGCGAAAGCGUGGGGAGCAAACAGG
rnacentral:rRNA from 1 species